CAAUAGCGUAUAUUAAUGUUGUUGCAGUUAAAAGCUCGUAGUUGGAUUUCUGAUGGGAGCGGCCGGUCCGCCGUAAGGUGUGUACUAGGUUGUCUCCCGUCAUCCUUGUGGGAACUGCUCUGGCAUUAAGUUGUCGGGGUUAGGGAACACAUCGUUUACUGUGAAAAAUUAGAGUGUUUAAAGCAGGCUUAUGCCGUUGAAUACAUUAGCAUGGAAUAAUAAGAUAGGACUUUGGCGUCUAUUUUGUUGGUUUGCACACCAAAGUAAUGAUUAAUAGGGAUAGUUGGGGGUAUUCGUAUUUAAUUGUCAGAGGUGAAAUUCAUUGAUUAAUUAAAGACUAACUUAUGCGAAAGCAUUUGCCAAGGAUGUUUUCAUUAAUCAAGAACGAAAGUUAGGGGAUCAAAGAUGAUUAGAUACCGU
rnacentral:rRNA from 1 species